CCUCAAGGCCACACCACCCUGAGCAAGCCGGAUCUCGUCUUAUCUUGGAAGCUAAGCAGGGUCGGGUCUUGUUAGUACUUGGAUUGGAGACUGCCUGGGACUGCCUGGUGUUGAAAGUU
rnacentral:rRNA from 1 species